rnacentral:lncRNA from 1 species
CCGCUGCCCCCUAGUGCCCCUUAUACAGUACAGCUGCCCCUUCCCCACCCCUCACUGCUCUCUCUGCCCCACAGCGCAUCGAGGGGUCACUGUUUCCCAGCAGGCUGCACUACUUUGGCCGGGCCGUCAGUGGCGGGACAGAUCUGACGGGGGAUGGACUGCCAGACAUCGCGGUGGGGGCACAAGGGCAGGUCCUGUUGUUAAGGUGAGUUACUCUGUCGUUGCACUGCUGCACAUGGCAAUCACAGACAGCACCAGUACAUGGGCGGGCGGGUGUGUGUGUGUGUCACUGCUGCCCCCUGCUGGAGAAUGGAACAAUGACAGCUCUGCUGCUCCCUUCUCUGCCCCCCAGCAUCUCCUCCAGCAGAGCUAUGUGUCCAUAACCCAUCUCCCUGGAGUGCUGUGAGCAUAUCCAGGCUGGGUGGGAGGCUCGGAGGGGGUCUAGCCCCAUUGCAGGGAGCAGCUGGGUGAUGGUUCUGUUCCUCCCAUGGCAGGUCCCGGCCAGUGCUCAGAGUCGGGGUCUCCAUCAGCUUCCAGCCCCCCAUGAUUCCCACCUCGGCCUUCAACUGCCAGGAGCAGGAGCAACUCAACACAGAGGCCAGCAGGGCAAAUGUCUGCUUCACCAUCACUAAGAGCACCAUGGACAGCCUAGGCAAUGGGAUCUCCAGCACCAUCCAUUACAGCCUGUCCCUGGACCCCGGGCGGACGAAGAUCCGAGCCGCCUUUGACUCCACCGGCCCCGUCCUGAGCAGGGAGCUGCAACUCGGCAUUGAGAAGAAAUGUGAGAUGUAUCAGAUAAAGUUACCUGUGAGUGUGGGGGGUUCCCAGCUCCUUCCCCUCCCGCUGUGUCUGCCUCUCCAACCAUGCCCCUUGCUCCCAAAUCACCCGGAGAACAAACCACUCUAUGUAUCCCACCUUUGCUCAUGGGUCCCUACGUGUCUCUCUGUCUCCCCAGCUCUGAAGACACACUGACCCCCAUCACCCUGCGCCUCAACUACACCCUGACGGGGGAGCCCAUCGCUGCUGCCGGCCACCUCAGACCCAUCCUGAGUGAGGACUCCGCGCUGGUGUCUGCAGGCUCGGUAAGGCCUCCGGAGCCAGGCAGUGGUGAUUGUCUGCAGAGAUUUUAGUGUGUGUGCUUUUGGUUACAGUGCCUGUGCAGACUGUAUCA